rnacentral:lncRNA from 1 species
ACUAUAUUCUAAUGUUCUUUGUUCUGGAAAGGUUAAGUUCUUUUUAGUGUUAAUGUACUGACGAGGGACCCACUGAGGUCUGAAAACGUUUUACAGAUAAUUCAGAUACUUGCAUUCAGAACUGUUUAUGAACUUUUGUGAAAAAAUUGAAUGGUAUUUUUUAAGAUAGAAAAUGAUUUCAGUUGUUUGUAAAAAAAUAUAAUAGUAUCAAACCAUGAAAACAGAACUGACAAGAUAUUAUAAGGAUAGUUGUUUGUUUAGAAGGAAAUGAAUUAGCCUGUACAAAGAAUAACAAAUAUUUGAUAACAAAAAUAAAAUUAAUGGUCAUCUUGCAUAGAAAAAAUGUUUGUUGACUUCCUUUAAGAAUAUGUAAAGGACACCUUGAAUUUGCAUGUAAAGCUCCAUCAGAUAAAUUAUAACCAAAAGCUGAUAAAAUUGCUAAUAGUAAUAAAAUUCCAAGGUUUUUAAGGAAGUCUAUGUUUAAGGCACCUAUUUGCUCAUUGUAAAGCUACAUAAACAUCCAUUGAAAAUUAAGACCAAUUGUAAAGAAGCAAACUCCCCAUAAUAAUUUUGGAAAGAAAAUUAGCAAAAUGUAACAUAGAGAACAUAUGCUUAACUCUCUAUGGGAAAUUAAGUAAAUAAAGGAGUUCAUAGAUGUUCUAUUUGAAAUAUAGCCACUGCCAGAUGAGUUUAUACCCUAACAAUUGUUUGGAAUCUGCCUGUUUAGAACUUUUUAGGAUGUCAUUUGCAUUUUUACCAAAAGAGGAAACAGAUAUUAAGAGAUUUGUAUUAUGUAAUUAUAUAUUGCUCUUUUUUAGAUUCAAUAGAAAAUUUUAUCUUCAAAGCAAAAGGCAAAGGCAUUUCAGUUGGGAUCCUGCUUAUUGGCAUGCUUGUGGAAUUAGUAGUUCAUAGAAAAGAAAAAAAAGCAUCGUAGUAGACUUGGAGAAAAAAGUAAAAUUAUAUAGAAGUCAUGAUAAAGGAAGAUAGUCUAAGUGAUCUAAAGGUAGAAGAAAGAUUAACAGACACCUAUAGGAUUACAAUUAAAAACAGAAAAAGCUACUACAGAACUAGUAGAUUGUUUUGGAUAAUAAAAUACAGAUAAGGAAUAGGGAAUGUGUAAUAUCAUAUAUAAUAAAGGAAUAAGCAUUUGAAGUCCCAUAUUACUGCAAAUGGGCAAACUCCUUGGACUGGAAGUGCUUUCAUUACAAACACAUAAAUACUGAAACACUAUUGGCGGUUGUGGGUGGAAACAGUUUUAAUCACGAACGUUUUCGGCGGUGCGGACGGUUGCC